rnacentral:lncRNA from 1 species
GGAUGCUCAGUAAAGCAAAUCAGCCUCACACUUGUGCUAGGAAUAGAGGUCUCACUGCUGUGUAUACGACUAUUUCCUGGGCUGGUGAGCACCACCUAAACACAGCUUCCUCCUUACACACACACCUCUUCUUGUAGGCAUAAACAAAUGUCCUCUUUCUCAUAUCUGCCAGCAUUCCCAUGUUUGCACCUGAGCUGAGGCUAUUUCACACUCUUCCUCCCAACCUAACUCACACAUGGGGGAGGACGGUGCUGAGGAUGGAAGGAAACUGGUGGGAGAGAGGGGAGGCCCCCAAAGUUGGGAAUGCAUAACUUGUUUGUGAUGGAAAAUUUCCUCAGGCCUUCAGGGAAAAUAAAAGAGAGACCUCAGGUUCAGGUUUCAACACUAAGCCCCACAUCUGGGAUCCUAGCUGCAGCUGGGCCUAGUUAGCCUCAUUGUCCUCCUCCCCACACAGGGACGAAGAGAUGACCCAGAGAACCCAGAUUGUUGCCAUUUUUUUUUUCUCAUUCUCACCCCAUUUUCCACCAUCUCUGGAGACUCUGCCACCCAGGAAGCUAGGGAAAGAUGGAGAAGUGAGGGGGGUGUGGGAGUGGGGGCUGGGUGAUGAGUUACAGCCAGGAAGUACCAGAGGUUGCGAGCAUGAGCUGGAUCAGAGCCCAGUGUUCUCAUCCCAGAGAAACAGGCCCGGAGCUGCUCCAACCCCCCAUCCACAUUCCCCCUCUCCCGGAUCCGCCUGUUCCUUCAUUUCCUUCCUCUGACCAGAUUUGACCAUAUGGGAGUCAGCCUGCAGCUCCCUUCGCUACUUCAGUGUCAGCAAGUGGAGAGUGUGACUGAACCCAGGGCCACCUGAUUGCUAAGCCAGCACUCUACCAACUCAGCUACAAUUCCCACACACACCUUUUUGACCCAGGUUCAAAAUAUAAUCAGAGGGGGAAAGGUACAGUGGAUAAAGUUGUCUCUUGUUGUCUGGCACCCCAUAUUUACUGAAGGCCCUCCAGUGGGACUUCUACUUCCAAAGCACCAUGAUUCAGCAGCAUCUCUCACAAAUCCCCGAAAGUCAGACGCGCCUCCCUCCCCUUUUUACAGCAGCUGCCACAGGCCCGUUUCUUUAAAGGUUGGGAGAGAAUGUCCCCUCCCAGAGAGGCCUCAGGGCCAGAGGUGGUGCUCAAUAAAGGCUGGCCAGAUGCCACCCGGGAUCGCGUGUUAGGACGGGCUUGAUCUGCUGCCAAGGAUUCCCUAGAGCGUCUGGGUCCUAAGCUGCCGUCAUCCUGGUGACUCCCGAGCAGUUCUGGCACAACACCGAUGGCUUUCCCUGUCUCAGACAAUGAAGGAGUUGGAAAUCCCACCCAGAACAGUGGGAGGAUGGCUCACAAGGGGAACGUGAGGGAUAACACGCAUCUCUUCUCCUGGUCAGCAUCAAACUCCCUCUCUGGAUAGCGCCUGCCCAUUUGGAGUUGCUCCUGUCUGCUGAACCCCAAGAUCAACCCCCCCCCCCCAGAGUACAGAAGUGGUUGUGUGGCUACAUUCCCCAGUUCAGAAAGGAAAACAGGGACUCCCACAUUCCCGGGCAGUUGAGCCACCCUCAGCUUGGACCAGCUUAGCUAGUGAUUUUGGUAUUCAUUAACUAUUCACCACCAGAAACAAAGACAGUGAUGGGCCACAAAGAACCUUCCAAAAGCCAGGUGUUGUCACUGGUGCUGGCUGUAGGCUGGGACUUCCACUGUCACGGCUGGGUUCAGUUUGGGAUCAGGUAAUAUGGUUUGGGGAUGAAGGCGUGGCUCAGUGGCUGGAGGGCUUGCUGAGCAUGGUUGAGGCCUGAGGUUUGAUCCUGCCCUCAAAAACCAGACUCUGUGGCACAAGCCUAUUAUCUUGGCCUCUGGAUGUGGAAAAGUAUCAGGAGGCCAAGGUCAUAUCUAUCUAUCUAUCUAUCUAUCUAUCUAUCUAUCUAUCUAUCUAUCUAUCUAUCUAUCUGUCUAUCUAUGGAGUUUGAAGUCUGGUAGCCUUCCCAAGACCCUGGCUCAAGAAAGCAAAAGCAAAAGCUAAGUGUGGUGGUAUGGUUGUAAUCCCAUCACUUGGUAGGCUGAGGCAGGGAGCUCAUUCUGAGUUCUAGACCAACCUGAUCCAAGUACAAAGCCUUAGGCCAGUCAGGAUGCCCUAGCAAGACAUUGCCUCAAAAACCAAACUGAUGGCAGAAGCGAUGUCUCAGUGCCCAAAGGUGCUGCCCCGAAGCCUGAAAACCUGAUUGCAUACCCAGGUCUCACGUGGUGGGAGGAGAGAAUCAAUCCUGUGAAGUUGUUCUCUUCCCUCCUCCUCUCCAUCGUGCAUGCACCUGUACACAUGCACACUAAAUAAAUAAACGCACAGUAAUAAUUUUUAAGAAACUUUUGGGCCAUCGAGAUGGCUCAGAGGGUAAAAGAUCUUGCUGCCAAACCCACCACAACCCUCAUGGUAGAAGAAGAGAACUGACUCCCAUAAGUUAAAUAAUUGGAUGUUUUCUUUUUCCUUUUCUCUCUUGUGCUAUUUUUGUCUUAAAAGCUUUUUAAAAAAGUUUUACACAGGCACAAGUGGCACACGCCUUUAAUGCCAGCAGUUGGGAGGCAGAGGCAGGCAGAUCUCUGUGAGUUUAAGGAUAGCCUAGUCUACAGAGUGAACUCCAGGACAGCCAGGAUUGUUACACAGAGAAGCCCUGUCUCAGAACAAACAAACUACAAAGAUUUAAUUAUUGUAUGUGUCUGAAUGUUCUGCCAGCAUGUGUACCAUGUUCAUGUCUGGUACCCGCAUAGGUUAAAAGGAUGCAUUACAUGUUCUGGAACUGGAGUUACAGGUGGUUGUGAACUACCAUGAGGGGCCCAGUCCUCUGGAAGAGCAGUAAGAGCUCUUAAUUGCCCUAAUUUGUCUUAAAAAAAAAAAAGAUUUAUUUGGGGCUGGAGAGAUGGCUCAGAGAUUAAGAGCACUGACUGCUCUUCCAAAGGUCCUGAGUUUAAUUCCCAGCAACCACAUGGUGGCUUACAACCAUCCGUUAUGAGAUCUGGUGCCCUCUACUGGUGUGCAGAUAUACAUGGAAG